AGAUACCUACGGGGCGCAGCAGCCGCGGCAAUACGUAGGGGGCAAGCGUUAUCCGGAUUUACUGGGUGUAAAGGGAGCGUAGACGGAGGAGCAAGUCUGAUGUGAAAAUCCGGGGCCCAACCCCGGAACUGCAUUGGAAACUGUUUAUCUAGAGUGUCGGAGAGGCAAGUGGAAUUCCUAGUGUAGCGGUGAAAUGCGUAGAUAUUAGGAGGAACACCAGUGGCGAAGGCGGCUUACUGGACUGUAACUGACGUUGAGGCUCGAAAGCGUGGGGAGCAAACAGGAUUAGAUACCCCGGUAGUCCC
rnacentral:rRNA from 1 species